UACGGAGGAUGCAAGCGUUAUCCGGAAUGAUUGGGCGUAAAGCGUCCGCAGGUGGCUGUGUAAGUCUGCUGUUAAAGAGUGAGGCUCAACCUCAUAAAAGCAGUGGAAACUAUACGGCUAGAGUGCGUUCGGGGCAGAGGGAAUUCCUGGUGUAGCGGUGAAAUGCGUAGAUAUCAGGAAGAACACCGGUGGCGAAAGCGCUCUGCUAGGCCGCAACUGACACUGAGGGACGAAAGCUAGGGGAGCGAAUGGG
rnacentral:rRNA from 1 species